rnacentral:rRNA from 1 species
UGGGGAAUUUUGCACAAUGGGGGAAACCCUGAUGCAGCGACGCCGCGUGAUUUAGAAGGCCUUCGGGUUGUAAAAAUCUUUUCUAUGGGAAGAAAAUGACAGUACCAUAGGAAUAAGGACCGGCUAAUUACGUGCCAGCAGCCGCGGUAAUACGUAAGGUCCGAGCGUUGUCCGGAAUCAUUGGGCGUAAAGGGUACGUAGGCGGGUAAGCAAGUUAGAAGUGAAAUCCUAUAGCUCAACUAUAGUAAGCUUUUAAAACUGCUCAUCUUGAGGUAUGGAAGGGAAAGUGGAAUUCCUAGUGUAGCGGUGAAAUGCGCAGAUAUUAGGAGGAAUACCGGUGGCGAAGGCGACUUUCUGGCCAUAACCUGACGCUGAGGUACGAAAGCGUGGGUAGCGAACAGG